GGAGGGGUGUCCGAGCGGUUUAUGGUAGCGGUCUUGAAAACCGCCGGGGCUCAGCGCCCCCGUGGGUUCGAAUCCCACCCCCUCCGCCA
rnacentral:tRNA from 1 species